rnacentral:rRNA from 1 species
AACGAACGCUGGCGGCAGGCCUAACACAUGCAAGUCGAGCGAGGACUUCGGUUCUAGCGGCGGACGGGUGAGUAACGCGUGGGAAUGUGCCCUUCUCUACGGAAUAGCCCUGGGAAACUGGGAGUAAUACCGUAUACGCCCUAUUGGGGAAAGAUUUAUCGGAGAAGGAUCAGCCCGCGUUGGAUUAGGUAGAUGGUGGGGUAAUGGCCUACCAAGCCGACGAUCCAUAGCUGGUUUGAGAGGAUGAUCAGCCACACUGGGACUGAGACACGGCCCAGACUCCUACGGGAGGCAGCAGUGGGGAAUCUUAGACAAUGGGGGCAACCCUGAUCUAGCCAUGCCGCGUGAGUGAUGAAGGCCUUAGGGUUGUAAAGCUCUUUCAGCUGGGAAGAUAAUGACGGUACCAGCAGAAGAAGCCCCGGCUAACUCCGUG